CAACUACUCCCUCUGUCCCAAAUUUCUUGUCUUAGAUUUGUCUAGAUACGGAUGUAUCUAACACUAAAAUGUGACUUGAUACAUCUGUAUCUAGACAAAUCUAAGACAAGAAUUUUGGUACGGAGGGAGUACUUU
rnacentral:pre_miRNA from 1 species